UACGAAGGGUGCAAACGUUGCUCGGAAUCAUUGGGCGUAAAGGGCUCGUAGGUGGCCAACUAAGUCAGACGUGAAAUCCCUCGGCUUAACCGGGGAACUGCGUCUGAUACUGGAUGGCUUGAGUUCGGGAGAGGGAUGCGGAAUUCCAGGUGUAGCGGUGAAAUGCGUAGAUAUCUGGAGGAACACCGGUGGCGAAGGCGGCAUCCUGGACCGACACUGACACUGAGGAGCGAAAGCCAGGGGAGCAAACGGG
rnacentral:rRNA from 1 species